rnacentral:tRNA from 1 species
CCUCUUGAAGUCUAGUGGUAUGAUUCUCGCUUAGGGUACACCCAAAGCUUUCUUGCGAGAGGCCCCGCGUUCGAGUCGCGGCAGGACCC